AGUGAACGCUGGCGGUAGGCCUAACACAUGCAAGUCGAACGGCAGCACAGUAAGAGCUUGCUCUUACGGGUGGCGAGUGGCGGACGGGUGAGGAAUACAUCGGAAUCUACUUUUUCGUGGGGGAUAACGUAGGGAAACUUACGCUAAUACCGCAUACGACCUACGGGUGAAGGCAGGGGAUCUUCGGACCUUUCGCGAUUGAAUGAGCCGAUGUCGGAUUAGCUAGUUGGCGGGGUAAAGGCCCACCAAGGCGACGAUCCGUAGCUGGUCUGAGAGGAUGAUCAGCCACACUGGAACUGAGACACGGUCCAGACUCCUACGGGAGGCAGCAGUAGGGAAUAUUGGGCAAUGGGCGCAAGCCUGAUGCAGCAAUACCGCGUGGGUGAAGAAGGCCUUCGGGUUGUAAAGCCCUUUUGUUAGGAAAGAAAAGCAGCAGAUUAAUACCCGGCUGUUCUGACGGUACCCAAAGAAUAAGCACCGGCUAACUACGUG
rnacentral:rRNA from 1 species